rnacentral:rRNA from 1 species
CGGGGAAUUUUGGACAAUGGGCGCAAGCCUGAUCCAGCCAUGCCGCGUGCGGGAAGAAGGCCUUCGGGUUGUAAACCGCUUUUGUCAGGGAAGAAAUCUUCUGAGUUAAUACCUCGGGAGGAUGACGGUACCUGAAGAAUAAGCACCGGCUAACUACGUGCCAGCAGCCGCGGUAAUACGUAGGGUGCAAGCGUUAAUCGGAAUUACUGGGCGUAAAGCGUGCGCAGGCGGUUUUGUAAGACAGAGGUGAAAUCCCCGGGCUCAACCUGGGAACUGCCUUUGUGACUGCAAGGCUUGAGUGCGGCAGAGGGGGGAUGGAAUUCCGCGUGUAGCAGUGAAAUGCGUAGAUAUGCGGAGGAACACCGAUGGCGAAGGCAAUCCCCUGGGCCUGCACUGACGCUCAUGCACGAAAGCGUGGGGAGCAAACAGGAUUAGAUACCCUGGUAGUCCACGCCCUAAACGAUGUCAACUGGUUGUUGGGAAGGUUCCUUCUCAGUAACGUAGCUAACGCGUGAAGUUGACCGCCUGGGGAGUACGGCCGCAAGGUUGAAACUUAAAUGAAUUGACGGGGUCAUAGC